AUGACAAGAGAUAUUCAUCAUGAAGCCAAAGCUCAGGACAUCAUUGAGCUUACCUCUCUGCCCACUCUAGGUGAGUUGUACGAACCUGGUUGUCAGCUUCAUCUGAACGAACUGCAAAGCAUCUUUCAGAGGCCAAAGCCCAACAUGAGCUAA
rnacentral:rRNA from 1 species